CUGCUGGACAGAACAAAAAAAAAAAAUUGUAAUCGAUACAGAGAAGAUUAGCAUGGCCCCUGCGAAAGGAUGACACGCAAAUUUGUGAAGCGUUUCCACAUUUU
ensembl:snRNA U6 U6 spliceosomal RNA